UACCACUUACUGGGGAAGAUCGAAAGUUUCACGUCAAAGACAAGAUAUAGAUGUCAAAGAGCAACUAGCAGCAUUUAAAGCUGAUAUGGAAGCUAAGUUUGAGGAAAAGUUGGCGCAAGAGCGUAAGAUGUUGGCGCGAGAGCGUAAGAUGAUGCAAGAUUCUCUUAUGGAGACACUAAAGUCCAUGGGUUUAUCCCAAACCUCUGAUACAAAUAAUAAAGUCAUGGUACCUGAAGCGCAAACCGAUAAACUUGUUGUCACCGGAAGCGCAAAAGGGAGUUGUUCUCCUGCACCGGUCAAGACGCAAAAUGAACUCAAGGAGGUUGUUAUCACUGAAAGCGCAAAAGGAAGUCGUUCUCCUGCACCGGUACCAGAGGCUCAAAAUAACAUGGACGAUGUUCAGAAAUUGUUAAUCAUGGUUCUGAAAAAGGGUGAAGAGCAUUUGCAUGUAAAAUUAAAUCAUUGUCCAGCUUGUGUUAAUUUUCUCAUGUCUUGCAAGUGUAUAAGAGAGCUGUUGGUGGGUUCUAUUUGGCUCGACAUGACUACUCUAAGUGUUUGGUGCUCGUACAUUCAUGGUUUAUGCAUUGAAAACAACACCACAAAUGUAUAUGGAAUUUUGGAACCUGCUGAGUUGAAUAUUGUUGGUGAUGGGAGAAAAAGUAAUCAGAAAAUGACUCAAAGUAAAUGCAAAAAAUACAUCCAGCAUAAGUUACAAAAUGAAAAGAAAGAGUGUCAAUUAUUACCAUUUAACCAUGGGUAAGUUUGUAUGAAUUUGUGUAUUUUUUUAAUACUUAUUUAUUUUUUAUAACUCAUAGUUAUUAACAAUAUAAUACCAUUCUUCCACGCACGCGUACAGAGGACUUUGGCAGUUGAUAAUACUUUGUCCAAAGAUAAAUACUGUGGUUGUUCUUUGUUCACUACAUUGGAAACUUAAUUCAAUAAUGGAGAAAAUUGUUUCAAGUGUUUUUACGGUUGAUCAAAUGGCGAAUGGCAAUAGAAAGAACAAUACCGUAUGACUUUAUCCCAAAGGGAGGAAACAAUAUAAUACAAAUGACUGUGGAUACUAUGUAAUGAAAAAUAUGUUGGACAUUGUCACUGCUAAGAUAACUGAGUCUUGGAUGGAGGUAUUUAAUGACCCAAGUGAGUUAACAGCUGACGAGAUGUAUGAAUUGCGACUACGUUGGUCAACAUAUUUUUUGGAGUUAUUGGAGGGUUAAGAUUUAUCUGCUGGGAAUUGAGGAUGGUGAUGAAAUGCUUGUUAUGCUUCAUCUGAGAAGACAUGUUUAGUGGAAAAUUAUAAUGAAAAGCUUGCCAUGCUUCAUUGUAGAUGGAACUGGUUUAACUUUGGACUAGGCAAAUUAAUGCAUAAUAUUUGUACCUUCUAUUUUCUAGUAAUAUUAUGGUGCAGUUGCAGCUGCUGGACUUUGCACUUCCUAACCUUAGUUUAUAUUAGUUUAAAUCAUGGAUGGAUUAUCAUAGUUAUAUAUAUAUAUGCAUCAGUUGCUACUGCAACUGAUUUUUAACAUA